rnacentral:rRNA from 1 species
AUACGUAGGGUGCAAGCGUUAAUCGGAAUUACUGGGCGUAAAGCGUGCGCAGGCGGUUUUUUAAGACAGAGGUGAAAUCCCCCGGCUCAACCUGGGAACUGCCUUUGUGACUGGAAGGCUAGAGUACGGCAGAGGGGGGUGGAAUUCCGUGUGUAGCAGUGGAAUGCGUAGAUAUGCGGAGGAACACCGGUGGCGAAGGCAAUUCUCUGGGCCUGUACUGACGCUCAUGCACGAAAGCGUGGAGAGCAAACAGGAUGAGAUACCCUGGUAGUCCACGCCCUAAACGAUGUCAACUGGUUGUUGGGUCUUCAUUGACUCAGUAACGAAGCUAACGCGUGAAGUUGUCCGCCUGGGGAGUACGGCCGCAAGGUUGAAACUCAAAGGAAUUGACGGGG